UAGCCUUAGCAUUCUCAAAGAUUGAUUUGAAGGUCUUUCUUUAGUUGUAGCUUGGCUUUUGGAUAGGGUUAGAAAUAAAGGAUGACAUGGGAUCCAAAUGACACUUGAACUGCAGUAGGACCGAGCCCUGAGUAGGGCAGCCUACAUAUCUCACCCCCGAGAGAGGAGAAUCGGGUCGUUCAUAGUUCUAGCAGCUUAUUCUUUUUUUUCUUGAUUCUGACUUGUUCUUUUUUUUUACUUUUUUUUCUUUGUGAUUUUUCUGACUUUAAUUUCUUGACACUUUUUUCUUCCUUCGUGGAC
rnacentral:lncRNA from 1 species